rnacentral:rRNA from 1 species
ACGGGAGGCAGCAGUGAGGAAUAUUGGUCAAUGGAGGCAACUCUGAACCAGCCAUCUCGCGUGAAGGAAUACGGCCCUACGGGUCUUAAACUUCUUUUAUAGGGGGAUAAAGUGAGGCAUGCAUGCCUUUUUGUAGGUACCCUAUGAAUAAGCAUCGGCUAACUCCGUGCCAGCAGCCGCGGUAAUACGGAGGAUGCAAGCGUUAUCCGGAUUUAUUGGGUUUAAAGGGUGCGUAGGCUGUGCGACAAGUCAGGGGUGAAAGCCCGCCGCCCAACGGUGGAACUGCCUUUGAUACUGUCGCGCUGGAAUACGGAUGCCGUGGGAGGAAUGAGUAGUGUAGCGGUGAAAUGCAUAGAUAUUACUCAGAACACCGAUUGCGAAGGCAUCUCACGAAUCCGUCAUUGACGCUGAGGCACGAAAGCGUGGGGAUCAAACAGGAUUAGAUACCCUGGUA